rnacentral:rRNA from 1 species
CGUGUAGGUGGUCGGGUAAGUCAGAUGUGAAAGCCUUCUGCUUAACAGAAGAAGUGCAUUUGAAACUGCUCGGCUAGAGUACGGGAGAGGAGAGUGGAAUUCCCGGUGUAGAGGUGAAAUUCGUAGAUAUCGGGAGGAACACCAGUGGCGAAGGCGGCUCUCUGGUCCGAUACUGACACUGAGACGCGAAAGCGUGGGGAGCAAACAGGAUUAGAUACCCUGGUAGUCCACGCCGGGUAAACGAUGGGCACUAGGUGUAGGAGGUAUUGACCCCUUCUGUGCCGAAGUUAACGCAUUAAGUGCCCCGCCUGGGGAGUACGGCCGCAAGGCUAAA